rnacentral:lncRNA from 1 species
ACAUAAUUAGCUUAUUUAGUUCAUUUAUGACAUAAUUAGCUUAGAUAGGUCAAAAAUAGCACAAGAACCUUGGUUAGCUCAUAACUUAGCGUAUAUUCCUCCAAAAUGACAUAAUAAGCUCAAAAUAAGAUAAGUAAUCAUCUUCUCCUUCUCCUUCUUCUUCUUCAUCAUCUUCUCCUUCUUCUUCUUCUUCUUCUUCUCGUUCUUCUUCUCCUCCUCCUUCUUCUUCUUCUUCUUCUCGUUCUUCUUCUUCUUCUAGUCUUCUUCUUCUUCUUCUAGUUUUAUUCUCCAAAAUGACAUACUUAGCUAAUUAUCCUCCAAAUGACAUACCGAGCUUAUUUAUUUCAUUUAUGACAUAAUUAGCUUAGUUAGGUCAAAAAUAGCACAAAAACCUUGGUUAGCUCAUAACUUAGCAUAUGUCCCUCCAAAAUGACAUAAUAAGCUCAAAAUAAGAUAAGUAAUCAUCUUCUCCUUCUCCUUCUCCUUCUCCUUCUGCUUCUUUUUCUCCUUCUUCUAGUCUUCUUCUUCUUCUUCUUCUUCUUCUUCUUCUCCUUCUUCUUCUUUUUUUUCUUCUUCUUCUUCUUCUUCUUCUUCUUCUAGUUUUCUUCUUCUUCUUCUUCUAACUUUUUUAUUUUCAUUUUGCAGAUUUGAUUCACUUCAUGGAAGCUG